rnacentral:rRNA from 1 species
GGCGAUCAGAUACCGCCCUAGUUCUGACCGUAAACGAUGCCAACUAGCGAUCCGCCAGUCGACUCAUCGCUCUGGUGGGGAGCUUCCCGGAAACGAAAGUCUUCCGGUUCCGGGGGAAGUAUGGUUGCAAAGCUGAAACUUAAAGGAAUUGACGGAAGGGCACCACCAGGAGUGGAGCCUGCGGCUUAAUUUGACUCAACACGGGGAAACUCACCCGGCCCGGACACCGUAAGGAUUGACAGAUUGAUAGCUUUUUCAUGAUUCGGUGGAUGGUGGUGCAUGGCCGUUCUUAGUUCGUGGAGCGAUUUGUCUGGUUUAUUCCGAUAACGAGCGAGACUCUGACCUACUAAAUAGUUGACGCAUUGCCAUUGUGCGCACAACUUCUUAGAGGGAUUUUCGGUGUUUUCAACCGCACGAAAUUGAGCAAUAACAGGUCUGUGAUGCCCUUAGAUGCCCGGGGCUGCACGCGCGCUACACUGGCAAACGCAACGUGCCUGUCCUGCCCAGAAAGGAGCGGGUAAACCCCUGAAAUUUUGCCGUGAUUGGGAUCGGACAUUGCAACUAUUGUCCGUGAACGAGGAAUCCCUUGUAGGGGCGAGUCAUCAACUCGUCCUGAAUACGUCCCUGCCCUUUGUA